GGGGAUAUAGCUCAGUUGGCUAGAGCACCUGCUUUGCAAGCAGGGGGUCAAGGGUUCGAGUCCCUUUAUCUCCACCA
rnacentral:tRNA from 1 species